CCUACGGGAGGCAGCAGUGAGGAAUAUUGGUCAAUGGGCGCGAGCCUGAACCAGCCAAGUAGCGUGAAGGAUGACUGCCCUACGGGUUGUAAACUUCUUUUGUCAAGGGACAAAAUCAGGCUCGAGAGCCUGACCGAGGGUACUUGAAGAAAAAGCAUCGGCUAACUCCGUGCCAGCAGCCGCGGUAAUACGGAGGAUGCGAGCGUUAUCCGGAUUUAUUGGGUUAAAGGGUGCGUAGGCGGGCUGUUAAGUCAGCGGUAAAAGCCCGGGGCUCAACCCCGGCGAGCCGUUGAAACUGGCUGUCUUGAGAUGUCGAGAGGUAUGCGGAAUGCGCAGUGUAGCGGUGAAAUGCAUAGAUAUCACACAGAACACCGAUUGCGAAGGCAUCUCACGAAUCCGCGAUUGACGCUGAUGCACGAAAGCGUGGGUAUCAAACAGGAUUAGAUACCCCUGUAGUC
rnacentral:rRNA from 1 species